ensembl:snoRNA SNORD16 Small nucleolar RNA SNORD16
UGCUGUGAUGAUGUAAUUUGCGUCUUAUCCAGUGUUCAGUGACAGUUGCCURCUGUCAGCACGCUGGCGCUGUUGAAUUGAAGACACUUCUAUUCUGAGCA